UCCAGACUCCUACGGGAGGCAGCAGUGGGGAAUAUUGCACAAUGGGGGGAACCCUGAUGCAGCGACGCCGCGUGGGUGAAGGAGCACCUCGGUGCGUAAAGCCCUAUCGGCAGGGAAGAAACAGACGGUACCUGACUAAGAAGCCCCGGCUAACUACGUGCCAGCAGCCGCGGUAAUACGUAGGGGGCAAGCGUUAUCCGGAUUCACUGGGUGUAAAGGGAGCGUAGACGGCGACGCAAGUCUGGAGUGAAAGCCCGGGGCCCAACCCCGGGACUGCUCUUGGAACUGCGUGGCUGGAGUGCAGGAGGGGCAGGCGGAAUUCCUGGUGUAGCGGUGAAAUGCGUAGAUAUCAGGAGGAACACCGGUGGCGAAGGCGGCCUGCUGGACUGCAACUGACGUUGAGGCCCGAAAGCGUGGGGAGCAAACGGGAUUAGAUACCCCCGUA
rnacentral:rRNA from 1 species